GACGUAGGGCGCGAGCGUUGUCCGGAUUUAUUGGGCGUAAAGAGUGUGUAGGCGGUGCUCUAAGUUCGGUGUGAAAUCUCCCGGCUUAACUGGGAGGGUGCGCCGGAAACUGGAGUGCUCGAGCGUGGGAGAGGAAAGCGGAAGUCCUGGUGUAGCGGUGAAAUGCGUAGAUAUCAGGAGGAACACCUGUGGUGUGAGACGGCUUUCUGGACCAUUGCUGACGCUGGAGAACACGAAAGCGUGGGUAGCAAACAGG
rnacentral:rRNA from 1 species